GACGAACCGAGCGAACGUUGUUCGGAAUCACUGGGCUUAAAGGGCGCGUAGGCGGGCAUUCAAGUCCGUGGUGAAAUCCGGCAGCUCAACUGUCGAACUGCCGCGGAUACUGGGUGUCUCGAGGGAGGUAGGGGCGUGCGGAACUAUUGGUGGAGCGGUGAAAUGCGUUGAUAUCAAUAGGAACUCCGGUGGCGAAGGCGGCACGCUGGACCUUUCUGACGCUGAGGCGCGAAAGCCAGGGGAGCAA
rnacentral:rRNA from 1 species